rnacentral:lncRNA from 1 species
GGCUGCCGCAGCCCUGGGGUGAGAAGCAGUCAGAGGCACAAGGCUGGUAAAGUGCCCUUGGGAACACAGGUCACAAGUCAAUGCAAAUCAGCCACCCAGUCAUCCCUUCCUGAUGCUGGGGUUGUGUCAUUUCAAUAGAGACAUUCCCUGAGGACAUGGAUCCACCAUCAUUGUUGAGCCCCGUAACUUCAGACAACGGUGACCCAGACUAAUAUGAGGAACCGGUUUAUUUAUCACUUGACAGCUGAAGUGGGUGACGUUGAAUAAGACCAGAGCUACCAGUCCUUGAAGAACUCGUGCUGCUGCUUUCCUCCACAGCAAUGACCACGACAACAGAGAUCCAUUCUCAGAGCCGAAGCCAACAAACAAGCCAAAGAAGCACAUCCCAAAAGAAACGGUUG